GUGCUGUCCAGCGUCACGUCAGAGACGGCCAGUCAAUGGAGUCAAGCGGUCACGCCAGUGCGAUAAUAUUGGUGACAACCGAAGCCGUACUCGAUCUCGACUAGACCGACAGCGCGUUAUUCUCCAAGAUAAUCGUGGACCCGGGUGCAGAGGCCAUGCAGCAGAAUCUGGACAGGAGUUGCUGGGUGUGCUUCGCCACAGAUGAGGAUGAUCGCACGGCAGAGUGGGUGCGUCCAUGUCGCUGCCGCGGCUCAACAAAGUGGGUCCACCAGGCCUGUCUGCAGCGCUGGGUGGACGAGAAGCAGCGGGGCAACAGCACAGCACGCGUGGCCUGCCCACAGUGCAACGCAGAAUACCUCAUCGUCUUCCCCAAACUCGGUCCUGUGGUCUAUGUGCUGGACUUGGCUGAUCGGCUCAUCUCUAAGGCGGGGCCCUUCGCUGCUGCUGGCAUCAUGGUGGGCUCCAUCUACUGGACCGCCGUCACCUAUGGAGCCGUCACUGUCAUGCAGGUGGUCGGCCAUAAGGAGGGUCUGGACGUCAUGGAGCGGGCCGACCCUCUGUUCCUGCUCAUCGGCCUGCCCACCAUCCCUGUUAUGCUGAUCCUGGGAAAGAUGAUCCGCUGGGAGGACUACGUGCUGCGUCUGUGGAGGAAGUACUCCAACAAGCUGCAGAUCCUCAACAGCAUCUUCCCAGGGAUUGGCUGCCCGGUUCCUCGUAUCCCAGCAGAGGCCAGCCCCCUGGCAGAUCACGUGUCGGCCACGCGGAUCCUGUGCGGCGCCCUGGUUUUCCCAACCAUCGCCACCAUCGUGGGGAAGCUAAUGUUCAGCAGCGUCAACUCCAACCUACAGAGGACUAUCCUGGUGGGUACAGUGGGUCACCUUCAUGUCCAACAAACAUGUGAACGCACAGAGAGCCUGUAGAGUCAUUUUAGUACAUGUGUGCAUGUACUUCACAACAUGAUGAAACCUGCAUGAGGGGCUACAGCAAACUUCUAAGAAACAUUGUAAUCCAUGGAACUUAACAACACCUCAUGGAGCAGCAUCAACCAUGAGUAAAGAUACCAGAGCACAGGGAUUCUGUAGCUGUGGAGAACAGGAGAGAGCCCUCAGCCAGCAUCGAGGACAGAGAAGUAACCUGAGUGGCUCAUGUGAUCCGGCUGCACUGACACAACUGAACACUGUGUCCUCAACCGGUGAACUCAGUGACUGCAGACAGGUAGAGUCAGACAGAGAGAUGGCCUGCUGACUGAGAGUCUCUGAGGCAGAGAGAAAGAAGAAACCCUAUCAUCAGAAUCACCAAUCAUUGCAGGGGAGGAAUCGCUUUCGUGGCCAUCAAAGGAGCGUUUAAGGUGUACUUCAAACAGCAGCAGUACCUGAGACAAGCCCACCGCAAGAUCCUCAACUUCCCCGAGCAGGAGGAGGCCUGAGCAGGAGGUCAGCCGGGAUGAACAGCUUGCCUCUGCUGGAGGGAGGAGGAUCCAAACUGUCGGACUCUUAAAGUGAAGUGCUGGUGAAACACUUAGCGUCGGUGUCAGCCCUUAUCUCCUAACACCUCACCCCUCUCACCCAUUCAUGGAGUGGCUCCCCCCUCACCGACACAACGCAUUUUAAACUUCUGUGAGCUGGAGACAGACUGCAGCAUGUUAGCACACACUCAUUAACACACACAUCUCUGGUGGAUGUGCUUCUACAAUCACAUGACUAACCCUUAUUGUAAACUUACUAUAUUUUAAAGGAGGAGUGCGGGGCAUGUGUAAUUAGGUUUUAUAAUAUCAAUAAUAAAUACUUGUUUUAUAAUGUUUAUUUUGAAGAUUUAAAGCCCUGCCUUUGCCAAUGUGUGAGUAAUAGUAAUUGUGGACGAUGUUCAGUGUGUGGAAUGUAUUAAAGAUGGAAUAAAACGUGUUAAACAGUCGUGAA